CAGCCGCCACGGUAAUACGUAGGGUGCGAGCGUUGUCCGGAAUUACUGGGCGUAAAGAGCUCGUAGGCGGUUUGUCGCGUCGUCUGUGAAAUUCUGCAGCUUAACUGUAGGCGUGCAGGCGAUACGGGCAGACUUGAGUACUACAGGGGAGACUGGAAUUCCUGGUGUAGCGGUGAAAUGCGCAGAUAUCAGGAGGAACACCGGUGGCGAAGGCGGGUCUCUGGGUAGUAACUGACGCUGAGGAGCGAAAGCGUGGGUAGCGAACAGGAUUAGAUACCCCCGUAGUCCCUGUCUCUUAUAC
rnacentral:rRNA from 1 species